rnacentral:lncRNA from 1 species
GAUCAUUUGAAAACACAUGUUAAAAGCCAAAUGGAUGCACAAGAGCUAAAAUAGGAGUUAUAGAUCCUGUUGGCAACAAUUAUCUGGCUAACUGUAUUGAUUUUGUAACAUUUGUUUCAAAUAUGACCAACUUCUUAUCCAAAAUCACCAGCACCGUAUCAGGACCCACCAGCACAAUGACAGGACCCACCAGCACAGUAUCAGGACAUGAAUAAAUUGAGAAAAUGCUAAAUUUUAAUAAAUUGCAAUGUUUUUUCACAAAAUUGUUUUGUCGUGUGGAUUGCGGUAUAGAAAGCGGACUCAAUGAGCAUUUUUGUUUUAUUUUUUCAGUUCGAGAUUUUCUGAAAAUGAGCAUUUUUGUGUUACGCUUACUGAAACAGUUUAGAGGGUCAAUUUUUUAAUGGUUUAUAUAUGGACCCAUAAGAAACGAAAUUGAAAAAUCUCAACUGUUUUCUUCCAUUUUUUAUGAGUGAAAACGUCAAAAAUCAUCAUUUUCGUCUUUGUUUACAUUUUUUCAUUGAUCACCAGCACCCGUCAGGACCGAAUCACCAGCACAGUACGUUCUCUCGCAGGACAACCAUACCCACCGUG